CGGCGAGGUUGGCGCGGCGCGGUGAGCGGCGGCGGCGGCGGAGCUCUUCGGCGGUGAAAUCCGGCAGUGUGGGCGCGUGGAGAUGGCGAGGCAAGUGGGGGAAAGGAGAGAGGGGGGCUUGAGAUUUAUAGGGACGCGCUCGGGGCACUACGGGAAGGCCGGGGUGAGCGGGUGCGGGGAUUGUGGCGGCGGGGUGUCCGGCGCGGACUCGGCGCAGGCAGCGCGGGCGGUUUCCGAACGAAGACGAAGACCCUGACAUGUGGGUCCCACGCGUCAGUGGCAGCGGGCGCGCGUGCGCGAGCCGGUUCGGGCGCAGUCGGGCGCGGUCGGUUCUCUUUUUUUUUCUUUUCUAUUUCCCUUUUUCUCAUUUUUUUGAUAACUUUUGAUUUUGAACUCCAAAUUGGCCCAAAUAAAAUCCAGAAAAUUUGUAAAAUCAUGUACUAUCAUGAUACAACUUUUGGGAGUAAUUUCCCUUCAAAAUAAAAUAUAUAAAAAAUACAUUUUCCCUAUAAAUGCCUUUAGGGCUAUAUAACUAUUUAAAUAAAAUAGUUGUCAACUCCAAAAAUUAUCUAAAAAUUAUGGCAU
rnacentral:lncRNA from 1 species